rnacentral:lncRNA from 1 species
CCCUGAUGUAGGAAGCUUCUAGGUUCUGUGCUGGAUACUUAAGGGAUAUCUUACCGCUUAAAUAUCCAGCGCAAGGGUAUACACGCCCGAUUUCUCUGUAGCUUGUUUUACAUCCUUCUCAUUGCAAAGGGUAUUAAAAAGGGAGGGCAGCCUUUUAGGGGCAAAUCAUCUUCCAGACUUGUCAGUUAUAAAAGAAAUAGCUUCUGAUUUUCUCAAGGAAUACACUACUGGAAGAAAGGUGUUAAGCUAGAUUCCUUGUUGGCGGUCGUCUUGGGACGUGUCAUGCACUCUAGCUUUUUCUUUGCAGUGUAUGGUAUCCAAAAAAUGUUUACUGUAACUAUAGUCAAAACCUAUGCGGUAAAUAUACUUAAUCUCAUGAUCCAGCAUUACGGCAUCUGAUGUAUACAUAUGUGCUCUCUUAAAAUAAAAUCUAAAAGCAGAAGCCUUAUAAGAGUAGGGGUCCGAGGACCGGCUUGGGAUAGGAACUGCUUGGUUACAGGGCUUCCUGUAUAUGGAGAUCUUGAGCGUGUCUUGCUCUAUUGUCAAGGAUAAAUCCAGAUGAUGCACUUGGUUAGAGCUAACUUGGUCCUUCCUGACCGAUGUACCAUACUGUUGCAAGUGAAAGCUGCUUGGAAAGCAUCUAACAGGUCAAUGUUCGACCAAAUGGUGAAAAUGUCAUCAACGUAUCUAACAAACAUAUCUCAAAUAUCUCAAAAACUGUUGAAAAUAUUCAAAAUCUGUGCAUUAACAAACAAGUACUCUAUAGCAGGUGUAAAAACAAAAAAUAAACUUUACUACUAACGCUUUUGAUGAUUAUCACAUCAUCUUCAGUUAAAAUACAAAAGAUUCUAAC